AAUGAACGUUGGCGGCGUGGAUUAGGCAUGCAAGUCGCGCGAGAAACGUAGCAAUACGUGGAAAGCGGCGUAAGGGAGAGUAAUGCAUGGUUAGCUACCCCCGGGACUGGGAUAGCGGCGGGAAACUGCCGGUAAUACCAGAUGAUGUCUUCGGACCAAACGUGUAAAUCGGCCCGGGGAGGUGACCAUGUCCUAUCAGCUUGUUGGCGGGGUAACGGCCCACCAAGGCAAAGACGGGUAUGGGGGGGGAGAGCGUGCCCCCACUCACUGGGACUGAGACACUGCCCAGACACCUACGGGGGGCUGCAGUCGAGAAUCUUCGGCAAUGGGCGCAAGCCUGACCGAGCGACGCCGCGUGCGGGAUGAAGGCCUUCGGGUUGUAAACCGCUGUCGUAGGGGAGGAAGGUCUGGUGUAUAGCCAGGCUUGACCGAUCCUAGGAGGAAGGGCCGGCUAAUCUCGUGCCAGCCGCCGCCGUAACAC
rnacentral:rRNA from 1 species